GGAUUAGAUACCCUGGUAGUCCACACCGUAAACGCUGUCUACUAGCUGUGUGUGCAUUUAAUGUGUGCGUAGCGAAGCAAACGCGCUAAGUAGACCGCCUGGGGAGUACGGUCGCAAGAUUAAAACUCAAAUGAAUUGACGGGGGCCCGCACAAGCGGUGGAGCAUGUGGUUUAAUUCGAUGCAACGCGAAGAACCUUACCUACUCUUGACAUACAAAGAACUUAGCAGAGAUGCUUUGGUGCCUUCGGGACCUUUGAUACAGGUGCUGCAUGGCUGUCGUCAGCUCGUGCCG
rnacentral:rRNA from 1 species